rnacentral:rRNA from 1 species
UGAGGAAUAUUGAGCAAUGGGCGCAAGCCUGACUCAGCAACGCCGCGUGGAUGAAGAAGGCCUUCGGGUUGUAAAAUCCUUUUCUGUGGGGCGAUGACGACGGUACCACAGGAAUAAGUUCCGGCUAACUACGUG